AAGCUGUCAGCCUGGGUAGAGUGCCGUAGCAUCACAGCUCACAGCAACCUCCAACUCCUGGGCUCAAGGAAUUCUCCUGCCUCAGCCUCCCAAGUAGCUGGGACUACAGGCGCCUGCCACAACGCAGCUGUUUUUUGGUUACAGCUGUCAUUGUUUGGAGGGCCCAGGCUGGAUUUGAACCCGCCAGCUCAGGUUAUGCUGCGGUAUUGACUCUGAGCUUGGCUUCAGCUGUUGGAAUGUCAGUGAAUGUGACUGCGGGGGUGAGGGGAAACUUGCCUUUUCCCCAAAGAGUUCACUGAAAGAUCCAUUCAAAAUUAAGGCAGAGAUAAGGUCUCUCUGUUGCUCAGGCUGGUCUCGAACUCCUGAGCUCAAGUGAUCCACCUGUCUUGACCUGCCAGACUGCUAGAGUGCUAGGAUUACAAGUGUGAGCCGCCAUGACCCCAGCAUCCUUUAUUAGAAAAUAAAGCAAAUAAU